rnacentral:rRNA from 1 species
AACCCAGUGUGACUCGUCACACUAUCAUUAACUGAAUCCAUAGGUUAAUGAGGCGAACCGGGGGAACUGAAACAUCUAAGUACCCCGAGGAAAAGAAAUCAACCGAGAUUCCCCCAGUAGCGGCGAGCGAACGGGGAGGAGCCCAGAGCCUGAAUCAGCAUGUGUGUUAGUGGAAGCGUCUGGAAAGGCGCGCGAUACAGGGUGACAGCCCCGUACACAAAAGCGCAUGUGCUGUGAGCUCGAUGAGUAGGGCGGGACACGUGGUAUCCUGUCUGAAUAUGGGGGGACCAUCCUCCAAGGCUAAAUACUCCUGACUGACCGAUAGUGAACCAGUACCGUGAGGGAAAGGCGAAAAGAACCCCGGCGAGGGGAGUGAAAAAGAACCUGAAACCGUGUACGUACAAGCAGUGGGAGCCCCACCACCAAAGCAUUUGCUGUACCGCGUUGACGGAGCGAAGCGACGUCAAACCGAUAAAACAGCAGUGUAAAGUGAGCCGCAGGGCGCUUUGCGCGACAGCGCAAAGGCAGGCGGUUUCGCGUAGCGAAAGCGAAUGCUUUGGGGUGGGGUGACUGCGUACCUUUUGUAUAAUGGGUCAGCGACUUAUAUUCUGUAGCAAGGUUAACCGAAUAGGGGAGCCGGAGGGAAACCGAGUCUUAAUUGGGCGUUAAGUUGCAGGGUAUAGACCCGAAACCCGGUGAUCUAGCCAUGGGCAGGUUGAAGGUUGGGUAACACUAACUGGAGGACCGAACCGACUAAUGUUGAAAAAUUAGCGGAUGACCUGUGGCUGGGGGUGAAAGGCCAAUCAAACCGGGAGAUAGCUGGUUCUCCCCGAAAGCUAUUUAGGUAGCGCCUCGUGAAUUCAUCUCCGGGGGUAGAGCACUGUUUCGGCUAGGGGGCCAUCCCGGCUUACCAACCCGAUGCAAACUGCGAAUACCGGAGAAUGUUAUCACGGGAGACACACGGCGGGUGCUAACGUCCGUCGUGAAGAGGGAAACAACCCAGACCGCCAGCUAAGGUCCCAAAGUCAUGGUUAAGUGGGAAACGAUGUGGGAAGGCCCAGACAGCCAGGAUGUUGGCUUAGAAGCAGCCAUCAUUUAAAGAAAGCGUAAUAGCUCACUGGUCGAGUCGGCCUGCGCGGAAGAUGUAACGGGGCUAAACCAUGCACCGAAGCUGCGGCAGCGACACUGUGUGUUGUUGGGUAGGGGAGCGUUCUGUAAGCCUGUGAAGGUGUGUCGUGAGGCAUGCUGGAGGUAUCAGAAGUGCGAAUGCUGACAUAAGUAACGAUAAAGCGGGUGAAAAGCCCGCUCGCCGGAAGACCAAGGGUUCCUGUCCAACGUUAAUCGGGGCAGGGUGAGUCGACCCCUAAGGCGAGGCCGAAAGGCGUAGUCGAUGGGAAACGGGUUAAUAUUCCCGUACUUGGUGUUACUGCGAAGGGGGGACGGAGAAGGCUAUGUUGGCCGGGCGACGGUUGUCCCGGUUUAAGCGUGUAGGUGUGUGUUCUAGGUAAAUCCGGUUCACUUUAACACUGAGGCGUGACGACGAGGCACUACGGUGCUGAAGCAACAAAUGCCCUGCUUCCAGGAAAAGCCUCUAAGCAUCAGGUAACAUCAAAUCGUACCCCAAACCGACACAGGUGGUCAGGUAGAGAAUACCAAGGCGCUUGAGAGAACUCGGGUGAAGGAACUAGGCAAAAUGGUGCCGUAACUUCGGGAGAAGGCACGCUGACACGUAGGUGAAGUGAUUUACUCAUGGAGCUGAAGUCAGUCGAAGAUACCAGCUGGCUGCAACUGUUUAUUAAAAACACAGCACUGUGCAAACACGAAAGUGGACGUAUACGGUGUGACGCCUGCCCGGUGCCGGAAGGUUAAUUGAUGGGGUCAGCGCAAGCGAAGCUCCUGAUCGAAGCCCCGGUAAACGGCGGCCGUAACUAUAACGGUCCUAAGGUAGCGAAAUUCCUUGUCGGGUAAGUUCCGACCUGCACGAAUGGCGUAAUGAUGGCCAGGCUGUCUCCACCCGAGACUCAGUGAAAUUGAACUCGCUGUGAAGAUGCAGUGUACCCGCGGCAAGACGGAAAGACCCCGUGAACCUUUACUAUAGCUUGACACUGAACAUUGAGCCUUGAUGUGUAGGAUAGGUGGGAGGCUUUGAAGUGUGGACGCCAGUCUGCAUGGAGCCGACCUUGAAAUACCACCCUUUAAUGUUUGAUGUUCUAACGUGGACCCGUUACCCGGGUUGCGGACAGUGUCUGGUGGGUAGUUUGACUGGGGCGGUCUCCUCCUAAAGAGUAACGGAGGAGCACGAAGGUUGGCUAAUCCUGGUCGGACAUCAGGAGGUUAGUGCAAUGGCAUAAGCCAGCUUGACUGCGAGCGUGACGGCGCGAGCAGGUGCGAAAGCAGGUCAUAGUGAUCCGGUGGUUCUGAAUGGAAGGGCCAUCGCUCAACGGAUAAAAGGUACUCCGGGGAUAACAGGCUGAUACCGCCCAAGAGUUCAUAUCGACGGCGGUGUUUGGCACCUCGAUGUCGGCUCAUCACAUCCUGGGGCUGAAGUAGGUCCCAAGGGUAUGGCUGUUCGCCAUUUAAAGUGGUACGCGAGCUGGGUUUAGAACGUCGUGAGACAGUUCGGUCCCUAUCUGCCGUGGGCGCUGGAGAACUGAGGGGGGCUGCUCCUAGUACGAGAGGACCGGAGUGGACGCAUCACUGGUGUUCGGGUUGUCAUGCCAAUGGCACUGCCCGGUAGCUAAAUGCGGAAGAGAUAAGUGCUGAAAGCAUCUAAGCACGAAACUUGCCCCGA